rfam:Candidatus Magnetoglobus multicellularis str. Araruama Cont108, whole genome shotgun sequence.
CCGAGUAUUCUGUUACUCGUACCCUACCUGCUGAAUAAAGUGCGUCAGGGACAACGUAGCCUCAUCCUUUUUGGAUGGUUAUCAAGCCGUGAGGGGAGAUAGCGACUGCGAGCAUCAACGCGGUCGGGAGC